GCUACCUUAGCUCAGUUGGUAGAGCAAUGGACUGAAAAUCCAUGUGUCCUCAGUUCAACUCUGAGAGGUAGCA
rnacentral:tRNA from 1 species